UUNNNUCCUGGCUCAGAUUGAACGCUAGCGGGAUGCCUUACACAUGCAAGUCGAACGGCAGCACGGACUUCGGUCUGGUGGCGAGUGGCGAACGGGUGAGUAAUGUAUCGGAACGUGCCUAGUAGCGGGGGAUAACUACGCGAAAGCGUAGCUAAUACCGCAUACGCCCUACGGGGGAAAGCAGGGGAUCGCAAGACCUUGCACUAUUAGAGCGGCCGAUAUCGGAUUAGCUAGUUGGUGGGGUAACGGCUCACCAAGGCGACGAUCCGUAGCUGGUUUGAGAGGACGACCAGCCACACUGGGACUGAGACACGGCCCAGACUCCUACGGGAGGCAGCAGUGGGGAAUUUUGGACAAUGGGGGAAACCCUGAUCCAGCCAUCCCGCGUGUGCGAUGAAGGCCUUCGGGUUGUAAAGCACUUUUGGCAGGAAAGAAACGUCAUGGGCUAAUACCCCGUGAAACUGACGGUACCUGCAGAAUAAGCACCGGCUAACUACGUGCCAGCAGCCGCGGUAAUACGUAGGGUGCAAGCGUUAAUCGGAAUUACUGGGCGUAAAGCGUGCGCAGGCGGUUCGGAAAGAAAGAUGUGAAAUCCCAGAGCUUAACUUUGGAACUGCAUUUUUAACUACCGAGCUAGAGUGUGUCAGAGGGAGGUGGAAUUCCGCGUGUAGCAGUGAAAUGCGUAGAUAUGCGGAGGAACACCGAUGGCGAAGGCAGCCUCCUGGGAUAAC
rnacentral:rRNA from 1 species